CCGCGUGAAUGAAGAAGGCCUUAGGGUUGUAAAGUUCUUUCACCUGUGAAGAUAAUGACGGUAGCAGGAGAAGAAGCCCCGGCUAACUCCGUGC
rnacentral:rRNA from 1 species